rnacentral:rRNA from 1 species
UACGUAUGGAGCAAGCGUUAUCCGGAUUUACUGGGUGUAAAGGGAGUGUAGGUGGCCAGGCAAGUCAGAAGUGAAAGCCCGGGGCUCAACCCCGGGACUGCUUUUGAAACUGCAGGGCUAGAGUGCAGAAGGGGCAAGUGGAAUUCCUAGUGUAGCGGUGAAAUGCGUAGAUAUUAGGAGGAACACCAGUGGCGAAGGCGGCUUGCUGGACUGUAACUGACACUGAGGCUCGAAAGCGUGGGGAGCAAACAGG